AUGGUCCAGCCGCUCCUCGGUAAGGGCCAGGCAGACCAGCCCGCGGCCGUACUUGGCCAUGAAGUUGAUGGCUUCCGGAGUGACCUUCUCGGCGGCCAGCGUCA
rfam:Chloroflexi bacterium 13_1_20CM_2_59_7 13_1_20cm_2_scaffold_1300, whole genome shotgun sequence.